rnacentral:snRNA from 1 species
GUACUUACUUUGGCAGCAUAUAUACUAAAAUUGGAAUGAUACAGAGAAGAUUAGCAUGGCCCCUGCACAAGGAUGACACACAAAUUCAUGAAGCAUUUCAUAAAAAA